rnacentral:rRNA from 1 species
UGCAUCGGAACUGCUUUCAGUGGGGGAUAACGUAGCGAAAGUUACGCUAAUACCGCAUAUUCUGUGAGCAGGAAAGCAGGGGAUCGCAAGACCUUGCGCUGAUUGAGCGGCCGAUGUCAGAUUAGCUAGUUGGUGAGGUAAAGGCUCACCAAGGCGACGAUCUGUAGCGGGUCUGAGAGGAUGAUCCGCCACACUGGAACUGAGACACGGUCCAGACUCCUACGGGAGGCAGCAGUGGGGAAUUUUGGACAAUGGGGGCAACCCUGAUCCAGCCAUGCCGCGUGAGUGAAGAAGGCCUUCGGGUUGUAAAGCUCUUUCGGCCGGGAAGAAAUCGCAUGGGUUAAUACCCUGUGCGGAUGACGGUACCGGCAUAAGAAGCACCGGUAACUACGUGCCAGCAGCCGCGGUACUACGUAGGGUGCGAGCGUUACAUCGGAAUUCACUGGGCGUAGAGCGUGCGCAGGCGGUUUGGUACAAGACNCAGGCGUUGAAAAUCCACCAGGGGGAUCUCACAAAACCCCUUGGGGGAAAAACCUGGCCNGCCUAUGGGCGGAACCUUGGCACAAGGGGGCUUCAAGAAAGUAAAAGCGGCAACGCACA